rnacentral:rRNA from 1 species
CGGCGGACGGGUGAGUAAUGCCUAGGAAUCUGCCUGGUAGUGGGGGACAACGUUUCGAAAGGAACGCUAGUACCGCAUACGUCCUACGGAGAAAGCAGGGACCUUCGGGCCUUGCGCUGUCAGAUGAGCCUAGGUCGGAUUAGCUAGUUGGUGAGGUAAUGGCUCACCAAGGCGACGAUCCGUAACUGGUCUGAGAGGAUGAUCAGUCACACUGGAACUGAGACACGGUCCAGACUCCUACGGGAGGCAGCAGUC